CGGGAGGACGAGGUGGUGCAUGGUUGUCGUCAGCUCGUGUCGUGAGAUGUGGGUUAAGUCCCGCAACGAGCGCAACCCUACUUGCUAGUUACCAUCAUUAAGUUGGGGACUCUAGCGAGACUGCCAGUGAUAAACUGGAGGAAGGUGGGGAUGACGUCAAAUCAUCAUGCCCCUUAUGACCUGGGCUACAAACGUGAUACAAUGGCUGGAACAAAGGGAUGCGAAGCAGUGAUGUGGAGCGAAACCCAUAAAAACAGUCUCAGUUCGGAUUGAAGUCUGCAACUCGACUUCAUGAAGUCGGAAUCGCUAGUAAUCGCGGAUCAGAACGCCGCGGUGAAUACGUUCUCGGGGUUU
rnacentral:rRNA from 1 species